GUUUGUAGUGCAAAUGGUUUUAACUUUCUGCACGUUGUUGUAGUUCUUCUUUAAUGAACCGGAAGUCUUGCCCACAGGCUUAGGAUACUUCCGCGUUGGAGAAUAAGGUGUUGUUUACAGAAAUGUAAACGAGAGGUGAAACUGCACUGAAAGGCUCUCUUUGCUGCUGCUGCAGAGGAGGCUCAGUGACACAUUUUGCAAUCGACGUCUUUGACUGAGCCAUGUCAAGUUUCUGGCGAAGUAAUUCAUCCCCUACAAACACCUGAAUGGGAUUUAUCAAGUAGAAAUAUUGACUGCCGCGUCUUGGCGUGAAGAAAAUGUGUGUUGUGGAUGACUCUGGUGCUCCUCUAAUUGGCGGGAGGCACCAAUCGAACCCCAUUUCGAACGCCGCGCGCCGCUCAGUAGUCCUUGACUAGUCCGCGUUGCUAUGGUAACUCCCCCAACCCCCCCUCCCCAAAUGCUGCAGGCCGCGUGGAACACUCUGAAGAGUGAGUGAUAGAGAGACAUCUCCACAGUGGAGAAAGACAAGAAUUGCUGCAGUGAAAAGGGGGAGGGUGUGCACAAAAACGAGAUUGGAUCAAAAAAAAAAAAAAAAUAAAAUCAUUCCCCUCAUCCCCGUCCCCCACCCGAACCUUAUCUUUUGCAUCGGUUUUAGGGUGCACAGGACCCCUCGCCUUGCUUUGCAGUCUGGGCACGUUGCUUCCAAACUUCAGACUGCGUUCAAUUAUUUAUCUGCUUCACCAGACAGCCAGCAAUGUUCAAGCAUCUCAUAACGCCUGUGGCAUAUCGCGGGGAAAAAAACAUUAUUGAUGAGAGUAUAUGGGUAAUAAAAAACAAGUCAAACGAGUUGCACGGACGUGAUUACCGUCCCCGCCUCUGUGAUAAAAAUCACCGGUGGUGACAAAUCACUUGCCUUUCUGUGACUCAAACUCAGAAAAUAUUUGGCAAACGAUGCAAAGCGUGGGUGCUGGAAACAGGACUCCGGGAUGUUGAGCUUUUACCUGUAUGUGCGCAGUGGGAGGGGCAGAGAAACCGAAUCUGCAGGCGGCAAACGUGCAGGAGCUCAUUAGAAAACAUGACCAUACUUCAGUGCAGAACAAGCGGCGGAGCUUCAGCCUUCUCACCGGCAGAGGGAGCUCUGUCGCCCCCUACCGACGAACCGCAGGUUUUAAGAAACAGUUCGUCCACAAAAUCGAAAGUUGUCAUUCUUGUUGUAGAACACAAUUACUAUAAUUUUUUUUUUUUUAAACGCCGAGAGGUUUUUGUUAAUACAAUAAAAGUAAAAUCUUAUAUGUUUUGUUAAUGUUCCACAGAAUAAAUCAUUCUGGUUUACAAUGACAUAAUGAACUGAGUGAAUGGAUGACGUCAGGUUUUUUCCAUUUAUUAAUUGCCUGUAUAGACCUUAGUUAAGGAAGCACAAUAAUGUUUUAACAAUAAUCAAAACAAGGUUGUAAGGGACAAAAGUAUGCCUUAGUGACUCAUUUUCAAUAUUAAAUAUUCCAUAAGGCAUCUAACCUGACUAAGGUCUAUUACAUAAAAUAGCAUCUCUGUGAUGUGCACUGCAGUUGCUUGAAUGACUGUAACCCCCCCCCCAAAAAAAAGAUUUUAAGUAGAAGCAUGAAUCUAUGCAUAAGGUAAUACUGAAUGUUCCAUAGAAACCUAGAAUUAUUUCAAGACAGACACAGUUUUUCAAUUGCAUUUGACAGUUAAAUAUUACAGCAAGCAUUUGUGAACAUGCCAAAUCAUCCCUAGUUCUUACGACAGUCUACUCAU